rnacentral:rRNA from 1 species
GCUUAACACAUGCAAGUCGAACGGAAACGAUACUAGCUUGCUAGUAGGCGUCGAGUGGCGGACGGGUGAGUAACGCGUAGGAAUCUGCCUGAUAGUGGGGGAUAGCCCGAAGAAAUUCGGAUUAAUACCGCAUAAUCUAUUCGUAGUAAAGUGGGGGACUUUCGAGCCUCACGCUAUCAGAUGAGCCUGCGUAAGAUUAGCUAGUUGGUAGGGUAAAAGCCUACCAAGGCAACGAUCUUUAGCUGGUCUGAGAGGAUGAUCAGCCACAUCGGGACUGAGACACGGCCCGAACUCCUACGGGAGGCAGCAGUGGGGAAUAUUGGACAAUGGGGGCAACCCUGAUCCAGCAAUACCGCGUGUGUGAAGAAGGCCUGAGGGUUGUAAAGCACUUUCAAUUGUGAAGAAAAGUUAACGGUUAAUAACCGUUAGCCUUGACGUUAACUUUAGAAGAAGCACCGGCUAACUCCGUGCCAGCAGCCGCGGUAAUACGGAGGGUGCAAGCGUUAAUCGGAAUUACUGGGCGUAAAGCGUGCGUAGGCGGUUUAUUAAGUCAGAUGUGAAAGCCCCGGGCUUAACCUGGGAACUGCAUUUGAAACUGGUCAACUAGAGUAUGGUAGAGGAAAGUGGAAUUUCUGGUGUAGCGGUGAAAUGCGUAGAUAUCAGAAGGAACAUCAAUGGCGAAGGCAGCUUUCUGGACCAAUACUGACGCUGAGGUACGAAAGCGUGGGUAGCAAACAGGAUUAGAUACCCUGGUAGUCCACGCCGUAAACGAUGAUAACUAGCCGUUGGGGGGAUUUACCCUUUAGUGGCGAAGCUAACGCGUUAAGUUAUCCGCCU